rnacentral:snRNA from 1 species
GGAUGUGAGGGUGAUCUGGCUGCGACAUCUGUCACCCCAUUGAUCGCCAGGGUUGAUUCGGCUGAUCUGGCUGGCUAGGCGGGGGGGC